UUAAUUUUGAUAUUUUAAUAUUAAAAUUUUUGUUCUAAUUGGUUCUAAAAAAAAAAAAAAAGUGGUUUAUAAGUGCUUAUAUUGUGGUUCCACUUCUAAAAAUAAUGACGAUGCCUUGUAUUUUCAUCGUUUUCCAAAAGAUCAAAGACGAUAUUUAUGGCUAGAUUCUUUAGGUUUAAGUAACGCAGGGAAGUGGGACAAAAUUUGUUCCAGACAUUUUAAUCCUCAACAUUUUAUAGUGGGUGGUUCAAAAAACACACUAUUGAGUGAUGCAGUACCCAUGCCAACUAAUUUUAAUAGUGAUAAGAAUGUACCAACAACUUCAUUAGAUGAAAAAAUGGAAGAAGAUUUAGUUUUGAUGGGUACCUCAGUUGAAC